rnacentral:lncRNA from 1 species
CAGUCUCAGUGCAUUCUAGACAGCCUGUGCUCUGCCCAAGUCCCCACCGGGAUGCCUAUCCCUAGAAAACUAAAGUCAGCUCCAGCCCCUCCACCAUCCACCAUGCAGGGCAAAGUCGACAGAGGCGUGCCUCCCUACUAGAGAACUUUGGCCGCAGCUUGUAGACAGCUUAGACGGGACAACGACCAGGGACAGCGAGCAUCAGAACCACAACUACAACACUCCAACACGCUUCCCUCAGACAGGAGCCCUAAGGCUUAUUACUCUUUAGGAGUAUCAGUCAGCUGGUUGCUGCCGCUGCUACAACCGACCCAGCCACAGCUGGAAUACCCUCAACCUGGGCAGUGACUACUGUGCUCUACACAGUCAGCGGCUGAAGGGCAGUCUCGUGCCAGCCAUUGAAAAUGCUCAAGGCACACAUCCCUGCUGACCUUCCCCAAGACCAUGGAGAGGCAGCUGAGUCCUUAGUUUGAGGAAGACAGGAUAACAGCCUGUUCCCGCUGCUAGAGGCCAGUGAGAUGGAGAGGCUUGCAGAGGUCACUGAUCAAUGGGUGAGUCUCAAAUGUCGUAUGGAUAAGUCUGGGCCAGGACAUGGGUUUGUUUCCUUCCUUCCUUCCUUCCUUCCUUCCUUCCUUCCUUCCUUCCUUCCUUUUUUGGAGGGGAGAGGGCUUAAGACAGGGUCUAAGUUGCCCACUGACCUCAAACACACUCUAUAGCCCAGUGCGUGAAGUUAGGAUCUUCCUGCCUCAGAGCCUGCACCAGAGAGAGUGACAGGCACGUGUGCCACCACACCUGGCUCAGAUAAGAUCUCUCUACGUGUGUUGACAUGUGCACACACCACGUGACGGCAUGUAUGUGCAUCUGUGCGUGUCUGUGGAGGUCAAACUCAGGAUCACAGACUCUCAAGCUCAGCAGUGGUGGCCCAGGACUUUAAUUCUAGGACUCAGAAGGCAGAGGCGGGCAGAGUUCGAGGCCAACCUGGUGGUCUACAGAGCAACGGGACAGCUGGGAGUAUGCAGUGAAACCCUACCUCGAAAAGACAAACAAACAAACGAAAUAUCAUAGAUUCUCCAUCUAUGACACCGCUUGACACCAUCGGUAAGCACUGACUGAAGUCUUCUGGUCUGGAGGAUCUUUUAUCAUUUUGACAGACAGAAACUUGACUGGGAUUACAAAACCAGGUACAGAGAGCCUCAGACACUGCACACAUCGACAUGUGCUUUUUGUUCCAAGAAAUAAGAUCUUGGGUUCAAUUCCCACCCAAGACCCUGCGCCAAGCCAUACACUAAGUCCCAAGAGGUCCUGGGCCCCUUGUCUAAAGGAACCCAAGAGCAACUGGUCCUUAACACACACAGGCUGCAUGCCCCAGCCACAACUUCCCCGCAUCCACCCCACCCUGUACUUCUCCCAUUAUAGUCCUCCUCCAUGGCUCCCCACGUCCGAGCUCCCGGUUCAGGCACCUCUCGCGCCCCACUCCUGUCUACCCAUUCUGCCGCCCGCCCGUUAUAGCCCCGUCUUUCUUCCCAAGGGGGGGUCCAUCCGCCUCCGUGCUGGGCAGCGGAACCCGAGGCACAGAGGAAUGACGCCAAGCCGGAAAGGCUGCGCGCCAGUGGUCCACCCGGAAGUGCGCCCCCCCCGCAUCAGGUCCCCCAGAGCCCCCAGCGCCGGCCGGCCACGCACCCACCUGUCCUAGUGUGGCUGCAGCCAUGAUCCGGUGUGUGCGGCUGGUGACUGUGCCCGCCUGGGGCGCGGCCUGGUGAAAGGCAUUCGGGCCCCGCCCUGCUCACGCCCCCUCCCGCAGAUGGCUGCUGUGUCGAGCCUCACUUCUGCCAGGCCGUCCUUAGUUCUGGGACCACAGGGACCCAGGCUCUGCUGUGAAGAUCCUGCGCGGGAACGGUCCCGACCUGCCGCACUCUCUCCCUCCUCGCCUCCACCCUACCCUGCUCUACCACAGCCACACUCACUCCCAGCUAGGCAUUUACUUUGGCUUUUGUUUGGCAUCUGAGUAUGGAAUCCGUGGGCUCGUGAAUGUUUGGGAAGCGCUCUAACCCCUGGGAACAGAUCCAGACCUCUAAAUUUUGUAUAUGUCGCCGAGCAUGGUGGCACACGUCUUAAGCUCAGCGUUUGGGAGACAGGUGGAAGGAUCUCUGUGAGUCCAAAACCAUUCUGAGCCACCUAAUUAGUUCCAAGCCAGCCAGGGCUAUCUGGUAAGACCCUGCCUUAAAACACUGCCUCCCAGCACUCGAGGCAGAGGCAGGAGGAUUUCUGAGUUCGAGGCCAGCCUGGUCUACAAAGUGAGUUCCAGGACAGCCAGGGCUACACAGAGAAACCCUGUCUCGAAAAACAAACAAACAAAAAAAAGAGGUUGGAAAGAGGGCGCAACAGUUAAAAGUACUGGGCUGCUCUUAGAGAGGACCGGGCUUGGUUCCUAGCACCCACAUAGCUCAUAAGUGCCUGUAACUCCAGUUCCAAGGGAUUCUGUGCCCUCUUCCGAGUUCCACAGGCACCGGCAUGCACAUGAUACACUAACAUAUGUGCAGGCAAUACACAUACACAAAAAGUUUAAAACAUUUUUUCUUUCUUCUAUCUAUCUAUCUAUCUAUCUAUCUAUCUAGAGACAGUGUUUCUCUGUGUAGCCCAGGUUGUCCUAGAACUAGCUCGGUAAGUAAACCAGGUUGUCCUCAGACUUACAGAGAUCCUCCUGCCUCUGCCUCCAAAGCUGAAAUUAAAGGUGUGCCACCACUGCUUGCUAUAAAACGCUUUUCUAAAAAUAAAGCAAGAACAACAAUGCACAUUCACAGGAACUAUCAUCAGUGGCAAAGCGGGCCAGACGGCUUUGAUAAAAAGGAACAGCGCAGCCGGGUGUGGUGGCGCAUGCCUUUAAUCCUAGCACUUGGGAGGCAGAGGCAGGUGAAUUUUGAGUUCGAGGCCAACUCUGUCUACAGAGUGAGUUCCAGGCCAGCCAGGGCUACACAGAGAAACCCUGUCUCAAAAAACGGGCGGAACGCACAACAGUAAACGCCCCCGCCGCGACCAAUCAGCGAUUGCCGCACACCUCUGCCUUGGCCAAUCCACAGCGAUUUUGCAGUUCCACCCCUUACCUAGGGUGUGCGGAAGCUGGGGCGCCCCGUGCCCAACCUGGGGAGUGUCCAGAGCCUGUUCCUCCCCCAGCACACCCCCGCGGUGUCCUUCAGCUCCAAACUAAGGAAAACAAAUGCCAGCCUCCUCCCUCUGACCCACAUGUCUCAACUCUAUGCCGCCUUACAGCGGCAGCCACUGUCACUAUUGCACUGGCAAAGAGAGCAAAACUCUUCUCCCCUAAGGGCCAAGAAUAAAGCAGGCUCUUUUGCGCCUCCUUCAUUAUCUUCCAGUUGACCCUUUAAUUCUUCCCAGUGAGCAUUUUAAUUAGCACAGAGGUGAAGCGGAAGUGUGCUCCCUGGAGACAGGAGUUGGUGCCUGCUGCGAGGCCUCUGGGAGAUAGAGUUCUUUGGAGUCAAGAAUGCACGUGGACUAUCUGGGGAGGAAGCAAUGCUAGUGUGGAUAGACUCGUGUGAAGAACAGGAAAUAAAUGUCUUCUUUCUG